rnacentral:tRNA from 1 species
GGGGAUUUAACUAAAUUGGUAAAGAACCUGACUAUUAAACUAGUAUGUCUAGCAUUAAAGUCUCCAUAGGAACG